UACGUGAGGCGGNGCAAACACAAAACACAGUCUCAGUUCAGAUUGUAGGCUGAAACUCGCCUAUAUGAAGUCGGAAUUGCUAGUAAUCGCGGAUCAGCAUGCCGCGGUGAAUACGUUCCCGGGCCUUGUACACACCGCCCGUCACACCAUGAGAGUCGAUAACACCCGAAGCCUGUAGUCUAACAGCAAUGAGGACGCAGUCGAAGGUGGGAUUGAUAAUUAGGGUGAAGUCGUAACAAGGUACC
rnacentral:rRNA from 1 species